GUUGUGGCUCAGCGGUAGAGUGCUUGCAUAGCACUUGUGAGGCCCAGGGUUCGAUCCUCAGCACAACA
rnacentral:tRNA from 1 species